CUGCCCCUCUUCCACUUGCACACACGCUCUUUUUCAAAAUACUAAAAAAAAGGACCAAAACAUGAGUGUGGCUGGUACCAUGCUGCCUGAACCCAGGGAAAAACCAUCAUGGGCCAUUAGGAUGAGUAUUCUAAGUGAACAAACUUUUAUGUUUCUAAGGUGUGCCAGAAGGAAGUGUUCCAAGACUAAACAAUUGUUUCAGCACAUAGUAAAGGCAGGAAAGUGUUUGACACAGCCUGAGUAUGGUGAGAGAAAGAGAAGCAUCGGAAGAAAUGGCAGUUCCCUUGAAGCCUGAUUUCCUACUUAACAGGAAAGUACAUAUGGAAAGAAAGUACAUUGGAACACCUUAAAAGAAGCUUUUCAGAUUUUAGGAACUUAGUGGAAAGACUCAGAAAGCAGAACAUCUCUCCACCCUGUGGCCUUCGGCACAUGUCCUCUCAGAUGAGCUGGACCCAGAGCCUUCAGGGUCCCUGUGGCCCUGACGCUGCAUCUGCCACAACAGGCGUGAGGCUGGGGCCGGGAUGAUGGGCUCCAGCUGCACCUCGAACAUCCGCCCUUUCCCGGUGGUGCUGGAUGUGGGGAUGAGAGCACGGGAAGGUGACACACCUCUUCUGGGAAGCCUGCUGCCAAACCUGCAAGGCCCAGAGCAGACACUGACAAACAGGAUCCAUCCCAACUGCGGCUCUGCAGCUCUAAGCACUGGCAAAAGUGGACAACCUUGGCAUUGCCCUUCCUCCCUGCUGCCCAAGUCUCUCGCAAUUGCUUGCCCAGUCCUCACCCUCUUGGUCAAGCUUCACGUUUGUAAUGGGCCUGUUGUCAGUCAUUUAGACCUGAAUUUAAGUGUUUUUUUUUUAAUCUGAAUUGAAGCAAGAAAAGACAACCAUUGUUCUGCAUUUAAAAAGCAUCAUACAUCCUUGAACACAAGCGGAAGGCUGGUAUUGUUUUGGAGACCAGAUGCUGUCAACAAAGGGAAGGAAAUCUAGGCACCUGCCUUAUGGGAACGGUCCACCUAAUCUAACAGUUAUUUUCAUGUAGCACGACACUUUAGCAUUACCCCCUCAUCCAAAGAAUCCGUUUCUCUCCAGCUUCAGCUACUCUUUUACUAAGGAACAGAGAAAUUGAGCAAUUUGUCCAGGUUCGCAGAGGCUAAACGUGGCAGAGCUCUGGUUAGAGCAUGGACCCCAAGGCUCUAGAGUAUAGGGGAGGUAGGAAGACAGAAAUUGCAGAGAGGGGUCCUGAGUCCCCUGCUCCAGGCUGAAACCGUGGGGUGGGUCUGAGGUGAUGGGGGUAAAAGGCCCGGAACUUCAGAGACAGACAUGAAAGCAGCCAAAGGAUUUUACCCAUCAGGCGGUGGCCUCACAGGUAUUCUAGUACUCACGUGAGUGGCCACGGCAUAAAGAAAAAAAGACCUUGCCUUCUAGUUUCCCCACGUGCCUUUGUGGUGUGGAGAGGGUGACAUUCCAGCAUGACUCCCAUGGAGGAGCCCCAGGCCUGCGGGCGGCCACCGUGGUGAGGCAGGGUAGCCCACCCCAGAGAAGAGAGGACAGUGGGUAGAAGUAUGGCAUCGGUGAGAACCCAGGGGACCAGUGAGGGCAGAGGUAGAAAGAACACUCCCUGGAUUUACCAGUCUUAUUCCACUAGCAAGAGGCAGUGAGUUGGAGGCUUAUGAGGAAGUUCAGAUUAACUGUAAGAAAUAGAGCUAUUAGUUUAUUGUACAAUAUGGGGGUGGCAGGUAAGUGAAAUAGCAAUGUGGGUUAAACUAUUCAUGAGCUCUUAUGGAACCAUUAGGGAAAAACCUCAGCUUGACUCAGGCCGAGCUGGAUCCAGGUGAGAAUUGCCAUGAGUGUUUUCCUGAGGGGAAAGAAAACCUUGCUCUCCCCUGUUGCAAGGCCUGCCUCCCUGGGGCUGGUGGGGGGAGGAUUAAGCUGAGCGAUCACUCCAGGAUCUGGCUCCUCCCUCUAUUGUAAACUGAUCUGCAAUUUGCUAAGCAAAUAAAGGAGUGAAAGUCA